rnacentral:rRNA from 1 species
GGGCCCGCACAAGCGGAGGAACAUGUGGUUUAAUUCGAUGAUACGCGAGGAACCUUACCCGGGAUUGAAAUGCAGAAGACGAGCCGUGAAAGCGGUUUUCCAGCAAUGGCUUCUGUGUAGGUGCUGCAUGGUUGUCGUCAGCUCGUGCCGUGAGGUGUCGGCUUAAGUGCCAUAACGAGCGCAACCCUGAUUGUCAGUUGCUAACAAGUAAAGUUGAGGACUCUGGCGAGACUGCCGGCGUAAGCUGUGAGGAAGGUUGGGAUGACGUCAAAUCAGCACGGCCCUUACAUCCGGGGCACACACGUGUUACAAUGGCAUGGACAAAGGGCAGCUACCUGGCAACAGGAUGCGAAUCUCAAAACCAUGUCUCAGUUCGGAUCGGAGUCUGCAACUCGACUCCGUGAAGCUGGAUUCGCUAGUAAUCGCGCAUCAGCCAUGGCG